CUUCCUUAUAGGUGAGAGGCUCUGGCUCAGUAUACCUGUGGUUCCCUUUGCUGAAAUGUCCCCUUUCUCUCCCUGCUCUGCCUAGGUAGUCUUGGCUCAGCUUUGGAUACCGGCUUACACCCAUUCACCAAAGCCAGAGGUCUUCCUUGAGACCCCCUGAUCAGAGUUAUUCUACGUCAGCACUAUUGAGAUUUCAGGACAGGUAAUUUUCCCUUGAGGGGCAACAUCACAGAACGUUGAACAGUGUCCCCAUCCCCUACCUACUAGAAGUUAGCAGCAUCUCUUUUAUCGUGACAGAAACAUCCUAGCUGUUGUUAAGUGUUCCUUGGAGGUUAAGAGUCAUCCUUCUCCCCCCUGAGGGCCUUGCUUCAGACUACUAUCUCAGACUCACCCUCUGCUUCCUUUUCUUUGUAACGUUUACUACAUUCUUCACACUUCUGGAUUUUUUUGUAUGUGCGUGUGUCAUAUGUGUGGAGUGUAUGAAUACAUGGGUGUGUCAUAUGUGUGGAGUGUAUGAAUACAUGCGUGUGUCAUAUGUGUGGAGUGUAUGAAUACAGGUGUGUGUGUGUGUGUGUGUGUGUGUGUGUGUACCCAUGCACGUGUGCAGAGGCCAGAGGAGGACAUUCCUUCCCCUGCUCUAUUACUCUACUUUAUUCCCUUCAGACAAAGUCUGCCACUGGACCCGGAACUAGCCUGGCAGCCGGCAAGUCUCAGUGACUCUCCUGUCUCUGUCCCCCACAGUGCUGAGGUUACAGGCUUGUCCACAGCCGUACCCAGCUUUUUACAUGGGAGCGCAGGAUUCAAACUCAGGUCCCCAUGCUUGUACAGCAGUGCUCCUGUCCACCGAGCCAUGUCCCCAGCCCAUAGGUUUCUGGGUGCUAGUUUAAUGCUUGCCUCCUCCCCUAACCAUCAGCAUCCUGGUGGCAGGGGCAGAGGCCAUUGUUCUUUGCUGUGUCUAACCUUUCACCCCGCAAUAAUGCUGACAAAGGAAUGGACAACACAGUCCUCCAGAAGAUACAAGGUCUCCUCUCACGGCAAGUGGUCACCUGUGGAAGACAGGCGAGAGGAGGUUUUAGCCCUGAGUGUGUGAGCUUCUAAGUGUCUUCAGUUACGAGACUGGAUGGAAUUUCGGCUCUCAGCCAAGCACCCCAUGGGCCAAAGGACCAUAAGCAGAGACAAAUGGAGAUCCUUCAGGCCCACAUUUGAUUUCUAGGGCUAGGAAAGAAUCAACUUCAACCUUUGUUGGCUGAGGAACUACGUGCCGGCCCCUGUGCUAGGAGCUUUGAUGUGUGUGAUCUCAACAGGCUUCACAGCCCAGUGAAAGUGGGCAGUCCCAAGGGGCAGCCAGCUGUUUUAUGUAUCGCACAGCUGGAAAAGAGCCACCCACUUCUCUCUGGGCUUCUCUGUGCCUGUCUCAAGCCUGACCUGAACCCCUUCUGCCCUAUAUUUUUGUUUCAGGAGCCACAGUGAGUGGGUUGUGGCAUGAUAAAAGCUGUCAAGGCACCGCUGCCCCCCAUGACUGCACUUGACUGUGCCUUUGAAAAUCUCUUUAUGCAACUGCAGCUGAAUUUUCCUAGUCUUUGCACUUCUGAGACAGCAUAGUGCUCUCUAGAAACAAAAGAAAAGCUGAGAAACAAAGAAGUAUGAAGCCAGAAGCACAAAGGAUAGAGAAGCAUUGUGACUACAGUCUGGGAGACUGGCUGCAAGAGUCAAACCUGAUGCCCUGGACACGGGGGUGGGGUGGGUGUAACCCAGUGUUUGCAUCAGAGAUGAAUAGGGGUGCAGGAUGAUAGGGGGAGAGACAAAAAUUACAGAGCAAUUUCCAUUUUCAGAAUCUCGGGAAGAAUGUAGGUGAAAGAAGCUGCUUUUGGACCUCAGCAAAACAUGCAAGAGUAUUCUGAAGAAAGUGAACCAGGAAAGCCUUGGGUCUAGAGUGUCACUUGCAGUCCAAACCUGAGCAGACACACUGUCUGGGCCUCACAUUAAGAUCUGCACACUAAAUGACAGGAUCCCAACAACCCUCUCUCCAGAUGGUGCCCUGGUUUCUAUCAACCGCACAAGGAGAAGGAUUCUCUUUAAGAGAAGAGCUAAACAGUGAUAUCUCCCAGAGGGUGGCCCAGCACACACACGUUUAUUAGCCAUUGGUUCAGGUGAUUUGCGCUGCCAUGUUGUAAACCAGUGGUUCUAACUAAUGGGUCAUGACCCCAUUGCGGGGAUUGAAUAACCCUUUCACAGGGGUUACAUAUCAGAUAUCCUAUAUCAGAUGUUUACAUUACAAUUCAUAACAGU